ACGGGUGAGUAACGCGUGGGAAUCUACCGUACCCUACGGAAUAGCUCUGGGAAACUGGAAGUAAUACCGUAUACGCCCUAACGGGGAAAGAUUUAUCGGGGUAUGAUGAGCCCGCGUUGGAUUAGCUAGUUGGUGGGGUAAAGGCCUACCAAGGCGACGAUCCAUAGCUGGUCUGAGAGGAUGAUCAGCCACAUUGGGACUGAGACACGGCCCAAACUCCUACGGGAGGCAGCAGUGGGGAAUAUUGGACAAUGGGGGCAACCCUGAUCCAGCCAUGCCGCGUGAGUGAUGAAGGUCUUAGGAUUGUAAAGCUCUUUCAACGGUGAAGAUAAUGACGGUAACCGUAGAAGAAGCCCCGGCUAACUUCGUGCCAGCAGCCGCGGUAAUACGAAGGGGGCUAGCGUUGUUCGGAAUUACUGGGCGUGAAGCGCACGUAGGCGGGUAUUUAAGUCAGGGGUGAAAUCCCGCAGCUCAACUGCGGAACUGCCUUUGAUACUGGGUAUCUUGAGUAUGGAAGAGGUAAGUGGAAUUGCGAGUGUAGAGGUGAAAUUCGUAGA
rnacentral:rRNA from 1 species